CUUUCCCAGCUCAGUUCAGCAACAAUAUCUAUGGGAAACAGCUGUGACAGUUCCCUUCAGCACAAUAUCCACAGGUCCAAGCUGUUAAAACUGUGGUUAGUCUGCUUGGGCUAUUGCUGUCUGCAAUACUCUUCAUAGAAGUAAGCAUUCUGCCUGAGACUGAGCUGUGGUUACAGAAACUUUGGACAAAUGCUGCAAAACUCAGAAGCAGGUAGUUUUUAUUCAAGUCAAAUGCAUCAAUGGAUGUUGCUGUAAAAGAAAGGUGGCCAGCUUUCUUUAGCUCGAACAGAGGAACUCAACAAUACUAUGGAGCAAAGUGAGAAACAUUAAAUAUGAAUAGACUAAUGAGCUCUGGGUGAGUGAAUUGUGUGCAGAACUGUACUUAUUGUCCAACAGCUUUUUGCAUUGAUUAUAUUGACUGCUUGUCUGUAUCUAGAACUUAAUGUUUUCCAGAUGGUACUUAAGAUAUCCUUAUUUAUUGCUCCUCAUCCAACAUUUUGACUUCAAAUGGAAAAACAAACCUGGUAGUCUGCAAGCUGAAGGUGUGGCGGGCCACUAUACUGCCUUGGCUGACGUCCCUGCUAUUCUGGGUCCUUUUGUGGCUUUUGAAAAUCCAGAAUAUAGACAGCUGGGAGAACCAAGGAAGAGCUCUCUUUUGCCUGCUUCGAGGAGAAAGUCAUGAAGUGGAUUAUCUCACCUGAUAAAGAUUCACAAGUUUCAAGGCCACUAUUAAAACAAACAAACAAACAAAAUCAAUGCCAUAAGCAUAAGUAACAAAGGCACAUUUGGAGAGCAGCAGUGAGAUGAUCAAUCAUUGAUGACAAAUCCAAAUUUUCAUGUUAAGAUGUGCAAAAGCACAUUGUAGACAUCUGUUCUGUGUGCAAAAUAAACAGCAGACACUUCGUUUCUCA
rnacentral:lncRNA from 1 species